UAGGGAAUCUUCGGCAAUGGACGGAAGUCUGACCGAGCAACGCCGCGUGAGUGAAGAAGGUUUUCGGAUCGUAAAGCUCUGUUGUAAGAGAAGAACGAGUGUGAGAGUGGAAAGUUCACACUGUGACGGUAUCUUACCAGAAAGGGACGGCUAACUACGUGCCAGCAGCCGCGGUAAUACGUAGGUCCCGAGCGUUGUCCGGAUUUAUUGGGCGUAAAGCGAGCGCAGGCGGUUAGAUAAGUCUGAAGUUAAAGGCUGUAGCUUAACCAUAGUACGCUUUGGAAACUGUUUAACUUGAGUGCAAGAGGGGAGAGUGGAAUUCCAUGUGUAGCGGUGAAAUGCGUAGAUAUAUGGAGGAACACCGGUGGCGAAAGCGGCUCUCUGGCUUGUAACUGACGCUGAGGCUCGAAAGCGUGGGGAGCAAACAGGAUUAGAUACCCUGGUAGUCCACGCCGUAAACGAUGAGUGCUAGGUGUUAGACCCUUUCCGGGGUUUAGUGCCGCAGCUAACGCAUUAAGCACUCCGCCUGGGGAGUACGACCGCAAGGUUG
rnacentral:rRNA from 1 species